UAAAUAUAAAAAAACGGAAUA
rnacentral:piRNA from 1 species